CCUACGGGUGGCAGCAGUAGGGACUUUUGCGCAAUGGGCGAAAGCCUGACGCAGCAACGCCGCGUGAACGAGACGCCCUUCGGGGUGUAAAGUUCUGUCAGUGGGGACGAAAGAUGACGGUACCCACAGAGGAAGCACCGGCUAACUCCGUGCCGGCAGCCGCGGUAAUCCGGAGGGUGCAAGCGUUGUCCGGAAUCAUUGGGCGUAAAGAGUUCGUAGGCGGUAUGUUAAGUCUGGUGUUAAAUGCAGAAGCUCAACUUCUGUUCGGCACUGGAUACUGGCAAACUAGUAUGCGGUAGAGGUAAAGGGAAUUCCUGGUGUAGCGGUGAAAUGCUUAGAUAUCUGGAGGAACAUCAGUGGCGAAGGCGACUAUCUGGCACAUAACUGACGCUGAGGAGCGAAAGCGUGGGUAGCAAACAGGAUUAGAUACCCCAGUAGUC
rnacentral:rRNA from 1 species